UACGUAGGGUGCAAGCGUUUGUCCGGAAUUAUUGGGCGUAAAGAGCUCGUAGGCGGUUUGUCGCGUCGAAAUGUGAAAACCCGGGGCUCAACCCCGGGCCGCAUUCGAUACGGGCAGACUAGAGUUCGGUAGGGGAGUCUGGAAUUCCUGGUGUAGCGGUGAAAUGCGCAGAUAUCAGGAGGAACACCCGGUGGCGAAGGCGGGACUCUGGGC
rnacentral:rRNA from 1 species